GUGUCCACUAACUUGGUUAAAGCGCCAGAAACUCGUUUUUCGUCCUCUCAAUUUCGUAGACAACACCC
rnacentral:tRNA from 1 species